GCCACCUUACAAAGGACUCUGGAGGGAAUUUUUACUAUCUGAGGAUGUUUCAGUUUCUCCAGGAUGGGGAUAAAAAGCUCUCAGUCAGCUGGUGGAAGGAUGAAAGCCAGCAAGACAUGACACUAAAUUGCAUCUAAGAGCAUAAUCAGGAAGAGAUGAUCAUAACAGUCAGAAAAUGAAAGGAAUCAGAGGGAAAAAGUUUGAUCUUAUAAAGUUGUAAUAAAUGAAACCAAUUGAAAAAAAAGACUGAGAGAACAAUGGAAGAAGUCACAAAGAAAGGGUAUACAAACAAAAAUGUUAAGUUUCUGUCC